GAAUAUGUAGACAAAUAUGAAUCUACCAGUCUAACUACACUUACAUCUACUACAGAAUAUCCUGCAUUGUUAACCAACAGUGAAACUGCCGCCGAGUUAACCACCAGUGGAGCUGCCGAGUUAACCAACAGUGAAACUGCAUAUUCAAAAAGUAUCAGCUGUUUUGAGGGUCAGUGUGCCACGAAUGACUGCAGUGAUUUAUUAACAGGUACUCGAGGUAGCUCUAGAUGCACAACUUCCGAGAAAGCAUUUUGUUACGUUGAAAAACAAGAAAUAACAAGAACCAAUGCAGUGAUGUACAGGUUUGGGUGUAGCUCAUUGUGCCUUACAGGGGUGUUUCGAAACACCGUCGGACAGAUCAACACAAAAUAUUGCUGCGCUACGGAAUUGUGUAAUAUGAACGGAAAUGACGUCAUGAAUAAUAUGACUUCAGCCAUGUUUGAGAAUUCGGCCGAUAAUUUCACGGAUCUGCUGGAAACUGCGGAUACUAAUACCACUGUUUCUAACGUUCUUGUUGGGAACAUAUCAUCGCAGAUGAAUACGACUGGUCUUUGGAUUAUCAUCACAUUAGUAAUAUACAAGUUAACAAGCUAUUAAUUUGACAAGUCCAUAGAUUUUUGAACAAAGUACCAUUUUAUGAUUUUUGAUAUUAUACAGAUGUCGUUUCGUGAAUGUGCUUUGAAAAUUAAUAUUGUAGUGUAUGACUGGAGACAGGACUCUGUAUAAUGGAUGGACAUAUCUAGAAACUACGCAUGCAGGUAACAUUUUCAAAUAGUUAAAACGAAGUAUGCGAUGGUGAGCCAUUUUGAUCCCUCUUCGUCCGAAAUGUUCGUCAGUCCAUUUUCUGUCAACAAUUUUAUUGUUUAUAAAUGGGAAAUCUGAUUGCUUUAGCAUUUUUAUGAAAUUUACACAGAAUUUGUCCGAUUACAAGAUCACUGACAAAUGCCAUAUUGCGUAUUGUUUGACACAUUAGAGAGGUCACAUUUAAAAGCGAUCUUCUUUCAACUAAUAGAAAAUGUAUACUUUUACAGGAUCGUAAAAUGGGGAAACUGCUAUUCAGUAUCACCAGAC